ACCCUACGGGGCGCAGCAGUGGGGAAUAUUGGGCAAUGGGCGCAAGCCUGACCCAGCAACGCCGCGUGAAGGAAGAAGGCUUUCGGGUUGUAAACUUCUUUUAUCAGGGACGAAGCAAGUGACGGUACCUGAUGAAUAAGCCACGGCUAACUACGUGCCAGCAGCCGCGGUAAUACGUAGGCGGCGAGCGUUAUCCGGAUUUACUGGGUGUAAAGGGCGUGUAGGCGGGGAUGCAAGUCAGAUGUGAAAACUAUGGGAUCAACCCAUAGCCUGCAUUUGAAACUGUAUUUCUUGA
rnacentral:rRNA from 1 species